GUUGAGAGCUUUUGAGUUGUCGCAUGCAGCAUAAUUUCUAUAGAAAUCAAAUUGGGAAAGCAUAAAGAUUUUUGCUGCUCGUUUUUGUUAAACUUACUUUUGUCCACUCUGUCACAUCCCGACCCUUAAAUUUUUACCUUAUUUACUAGCUCGGUUAUAAUAAGAAUUUUAUCGUUUCCGUCAUUGAGGUUGUGGUUUAAUUGGUCCCUAGAGGGGUUUCGGGGACGGUUAUGCUCGGAGGAUUAUUAGUAGGAGAAAAAUUUGACGACGGCAAAAAUGGUGAAUUUUAGCUAGUAAAAGGUAAUUUUUAUUCGGGUAUUAUUUUUUCGGGGUGUUUUAUUUUUGGAGUUAGGUAUAAGUGUGGUGUUGGACCGGUUUGGGUGGAGGCCCAAAACCCAUUUCUCCCUUCUCUCUUUUUCUUCCAGGUUCUUCCUCUCCCCCGAGUCCACCCGCUGCCCGACUUUUCGGCCGUCCUCCCGCCGCCGUCCGGCCACCAACCACCGCCGCACCGUUCCCGUUCGAUCGGCCUCCGACCCAGCUUUCAUUCUUGGCCGGUGAGAGCCGCCCUAGCUCCGCCGUGAAGGAGUUCUCUCCCUCGAAAGGCUCGACUGCCUUGGUGGUUCCAUCGCCGGAGCUCCCUCCUCCGGCCACCAAUCUGGGCAAGCCAUGUACAGUUUUGAAGGUCUCCAACCCAGCCGCCUUGCCCUAAAAGGACUCACUCCAGUUCGCUUCAAGUAAGGAGAAAUUUGAGGUGGAAGUUCUAGGGCGUUUUUGAUGUUUCCGUUCGAUUGGCAUAGCUAGGCUUAGAUUUUGGGUUUGUGCUAGUUAGGAAAGUUGUAGAGGGAGUGGAGACGAAGCUACUGUUAAAAUUUGGUAGGAUUUGGAGGUCGCCGGAGUUGGCGUGCGGGGACCACCUCCAAGGAAAACACGACCCACCCCAAAUUUCACCCUGAAACCCAGAGUAUGUCGUGCGGGGACCACCUCCAAAGAAAAUUUACCGAAAAAUCGGCAUAACCUCCCUUAAAAAUGGACAACCCUUCCUAAUAAUACCUGCAAACACUUCUGAAAAUUUAAAUCCAACCUUAAACUCCUGGAGCCUCCGUGCUCCCCAAAUCACCACACCACCCAAAUUAUUUACUAAUCCAAACAAAUCUUAUAUCCAACCAUUAUUAAGUUCAGAGCAACUUUAACAGGAAGAAAGGAAACAUAAUAAAUUAACAAGCGGAAGCUAUAUGAUGACUAUGCCUCAUCUCCAUGUACGCCCGACCUCAACUAUGCAAUCCUGCAAACUGGGCAUUUUUAAAACGAAGAGCCUAGGGGAAAACAUUUGAAACACGUUAGAGUGAGUGGACAAAAAUAAAUUAACGAAUAAAAUAUUUAUGUUUUCCCAAAUCAAUUUCCAAGGAAAAUCGAAUGCAUGCUGCAAGCGAUAAAACUUUUAUCUCAUAAAUGUCGAGCCUCUCAGGCUCUAUAAUAUAUGUAUGUAUUUACACACGUCCAUACUCCCUAUAUAAAUUCAUGGGUCUAUAUAGGCCUACUACGCUCGCGUCCAACGCUCACGUCACGCCUUAAUGCGGUGCUACACUACGCCAUUAAGGUGGACAAACAGGUGUAUAAAUAUGUGCCCAUACCCCCUAUAUGAAUUAAACACUCAUAUAGGGCUACUACGCUCGCGUCCAACGCUCACGUCACACCAUAAUGGGGUUAUAUGCUACGCCAUUAAGGUGGACAGACACAUAGGGCUAGCUAGCAUUUUUAUACAUACUCUCCUCAUAAAUAUAUAUUUAUAUUCACCGAAAAUCCCAUUUUCGGUAACUCUCCAAGAGAAAUAAAACUGUCAAAAUAAAAUGACGUCUAAAUGCUCCACAACAUUAAUUAUUCAUCUAUGAACUAUAGCAUGUAUUUUAUUUAAAACAAAAGUCCACUCACAACUCUAGGCAUAAGCCCGACGAAAUCCAAAUCGCCAUUCCAGAGAGGUUUCCUUGAACCCUGGCACAAAUAUAAAAUUAAUUUCCCAACUAAAACUCCAAUAUUUAAACAAAAUAGGCAAAAUUAACCGAGAGCCAUAACUACGCUCAUCAUUGCCUAACUUCGAUAUUCUUAAAUCGAAACGAUCCGAACUUAAAUAUCAUACUCGGCAGCCGUAAUUACAACCUCCCCAAAAAUACGACUUAAAUCCUACGGCCGGAUUCUACAUUAAUUAACCGCCAAAAAUACCACACUUCGGAAAUUCAUAAACCUAUCCAAAACUCAUCCAAAAAUUCCAUAACUCACUUCAAGAAACUCCCCUUAAUAUUCUAAAUUUAAAACCCUAAAAAUCUUCCAAACAGUGGCGGCGCCGGCGCCGGCUCCGCAGGUAGCGGCGGCCGGAGGUCGAUUCCGGCGACCUCCAAAUCCUACCAAAUUUUAACAGUAGCUUUCUCUCCACUCCCUCUACAACUUUCCUAACUAGCACAAACCCAAAAUCCAAGCCUAACUAGGUCAAACGAGCAAAAACAUCUAAAACACCCUAGAACUUCCACCUCUAAUUUCUCCUUACCUGAAGCGAACCGGAGUGAGCCCUUUUAGGGCAAGGCAGCUGGGUUGGAGACCUUUAAAACCGUACCAUGCUUGCCCGGAUUGGUGGCCGGAGGAGGGAGUUCCGGCGAAGGAGGACUUUGGGUAGCCCGAGGUUCUAGGCGGGAGAACUCCUUCACGGCGGCGCUAGGGCAGCCUUCACCGGCCUAGAAUGGAAGCUGGGUAGGAGGGCAACCGAACGGGACCGGAGCGGUGGCCUACGGUGGCCGGACGGCGGCAAGCUGAGCGGAGGAAACCGGCGGGGGAGAGAGAGAAGAAAGAAAGAAAAGAGAGAAGAAGAAGAAAUAAGCUUGGGCCUCCUACCCGGUCCAAGUCCUAUAUACAACCCAAUUCCAAAAAUAAAACACCCCAAAAAAAUUAAUACCCGAAUAAAAAUUACCUUUUACUAGCUAAAAUUUAUCAUUUUUACCGUCGUCAUAUUUUUCUCCUACGAAUAAUUCCCCGAAAUUAAUCGUCCCUCAAAACACCUCUAGGGACCGAUUAAACUAUUACCUCAAUGACGGAAACGGUAAAAUUCUUAUUAUAACCAAGCUAGUAAAUAAGGUAAAAAUUUAAGGGUCGGGAUGUGACAGCUGUUUGGGAGAUUUUUAUGGUUUUAAAUGUGGAAUAUUUAGGGGAAUUUAUUGUUAUGAAUUAUGGAAUUUUUGGAUGAGUUUUGGAUAGGUUUGUGAAUUUACGAAGUUUGGUAAUUUUGGCGGAUUAAUAAGGUAGAGUCCGGCCGUUGGAUUAAAGUCGUAUAAUCUGUGGAAGGGUGUAGUUAAGGCUGCUGGUUUUAGUAUUGAGGUGUGGAUCGUAUCGAAGUUAGGCAAUGAUGAGCGUGAGUAUGGCUCUCGGUUAAUUUUGUCUAUUUUGUUUAAAUAUUGGAUUUUUAGUUGGGAAAUUAAUUAUAUAUAUUUGUGCCAGAGUUCGAGGAAACCUCGCUGGAGUGGCGAUUUGGAUUUCUUCGGGUUUAUGCCUAGAGUUGUGAGUGGACCUUUGUUUUAAUCGGAAAGCAUGCGAUGAAUUAUUUUGUUGAUCAUUUAUUUCUUCUGAUGAGACUUAUUGAUUUCUCGGUUAUUUGGCAAUUCUUCCUCCUUUGGAGAGUUCCCGAAAAUGAGAUUUUCGGUGGAUAUGUUUAUUGGAUGUUAUGAGUAUAGUAUGUAUAUAAAUGCUAGCUAGCCAUACGUGUUUGGUCCAUCAUAAUGAGGUAAAAUUCCAUUAUGGCGUGACGUGAGUGUUAGACACAAGCGUCAUAGCCCUAUAUGAAAACUACGUUCUUUUCUACUUUAUUUAGGUUUUCAUAUAGGGAGUCUACACGUAUAUAUAUACACCGUCCUCUUCGGUCAUAAUGAGGAAAAAUUUUAUUAUGGCGCGACGUGAGCGUCGUAGCCUUGUAUGAGUUUCUAUUUUUCUAAGUUGUUCAUAGAAUUCAUACAAGAAGUCUGACGAGUGUAAAUACAUACACAUAUAUGUCUAUAUAUAGUUUAGCCUGAGAGGCUCCAUUUUAUUUGAGUUGGUGACUAGCCGGAGCUAGUCGUGAAAUUGCCAGUUUUUGAGUCGAGCGCUUUUGAGCAGACGCAUGCAGUAUAAUUUCUUUGGAAAAUAAAAUAGGAAUGCAUAAAUAUUUUUUAUUAAUUUAUUUUUGUCCACUCACUCUAACGUUUUCAAAUGUUUUCCCCUGUGCCUUUCGUUUUAAAAAUGCCCAGCUUGCAGGUUAGCUUAGUUGAGGUCGGGCGUAUAUGGAGAUGAGGCAUAGUCAUCAUAUAGCUUGUUCAUGAACCCUAAGUUGUUCAUAGAAUUCAUACAAGGAGUCUGACGAGUGUAAAUACAUACAUAUAUAUGUCUAUAUAUAGUUUAGCCUGAGAGGCUCCAUUUUAUUUGAGUUGGUGACUAGCCGGAGCUAGUCGUGAAAUUGCCAGUUUUUGAGUCGAGCGCUUUUGAGCAGACGCAUGCAGUAUAAUUUCUUUGGAAAUUAAAAUAGGAAUGCAUAAAUAUUUUUUAUUAAUUUAUUUUUGUCCACUCACUCUAACGUUUUCAAAUGUUUUCCCCUGGGCCUUUCGUUUUAAAAAUGCCUAGCUUGCAGGUUAGCUUAGUUGAGGUCGGGCGUAUAUGGAGAUGAGGCAUAGUCAUCAUAUAGCUUCCGCUUGUUAAUUUAUUAUGUUUUAUUUUUUCCUAUUAGAGUUGCUCUGAACCUACAAAAGGUUGGAUAUGAGAUUUGUUUAGAUUAGUAAUUAAUUUGGGUGGUGUUGUGAUUUGGAGAGCACGAAGGCUCUAGGAGUUUAAGGUUGGAUUUAAAUUUUCAGAAGUGUUUGCAGGUUUUAUUAGGAAGGGUUGUCCAUUUUCAAGGGAGGUUAUGCCGAAUUUUCGGUAAACUUUCUUUGGAGGUGGUCCCCGCAGGAUUUACUUCAGGUUUCAGGGUGAAAUUCGGGGUGGGCCUUGACACACUCACUCUAACGUUUUCAAAUGUUUCCCCUAGGCCCUUCAUUUUAAAAAUGUCCAGUUUGCAGGUUAGCAUAGUUGAGGUCGGACGUACAUGGAGAAGAGGCAUAGUCAAUAGUAUAGCUUCCUCUUAUUUUUAUAUUUCUAGUUCCUUUUCCUUCCAAAUAAAGUUGUUCUGAACUGUGGUUGUUGGUUAUGAGAUUUUCUUGUUAAAGUUAGUAAAUAUAUUGGGAGAUGUUGUGAUUUGGGGAGCACGAAGGCUCAAGGAGUUUAAGGUUGGAUUUGGAUUUUCAGAAGUGUUUGCAGGUAUUAUUAGGAAUGGUUGUCCAUUUUCAAAGGAGGUUAUGCCGAAUUUUCGGUAAAUUUUCAUUGGAGGUGGUCCCCGCAGGAUUUACUUCGGGUUUUAGGGUGAAAUUCGGGGUGGGUCUUGACAUUUUACCACGGCAUGAAGUUGCCGUCUCAAAAUGGUUUUAAUUUAGCGACGGAAGCGUUGCCGUCGCAGCGCCGUCGCAAAACUUGGACCAAUGGCGACGACAAAUCUGCACCGUGGCAAUUUGGGGUGGCUAACUAAAUUCUUUUUUGUAGUGUCGCUUAAUCUAACUCCGAUUCACUUAGGAUCACCACUGGAUUUAUUUAUGAUCCCUGUCUACGACACAACAACCAAUUCUUCAUUUAUCUCAAAAACUUGACGAACCAGACAGAAUCUCUAACCUUCAAAUUAUAUUGCAUGCACUCCACCAUCUCAAAAUUUGGGAAAGGAACAUUUCGGUUACAUAAAGCUGCAACAAAAAUAACUUAUGUAUCGCCCAAAACGUGUUCCAUCUAAAAUCUAAUUUACCAAGUUACUAGCGUGGAGGGUAAACAAGUCCUCAAACUGGAUAUGUCAAAGUAAAUCUCCAACUGCAAACGAGGUGACGUUAGCAAACAAACUUCGUUCACUCUUUACACUAAUAUCAUGUCAUUCAAGACUUGUAUUGACUAACUCAAUACAACACCGGCUGAAAGUACUAUGGACACCCAUCCACGCUUCUCCAAACAAUCUUUUCAUCUUCAGCUACUCUAAAUAACAAAUUAUUCAACUCCAACAAUCACGCACUUCAAGAUAUAUUACUUCCCUCUAGACAUUCAUGUCACCCCUAUAUUCCUCACCUUUCCAUCCUAGCAACCAAGGACACUAAAGAUUUGAAUUACCAAAACUCCCGAAGUUCUCAACACGUUUAAUCUAUUCCCCUUUUAUAACUGCUAUACUCCAAGAAAGGAUUGAGUUGAUUCGGUGACCAGCUUGUACCACCUUGUACAAUGGCAUUAAACAUCUGACUUAAAUAGCUUCAUUCCCAACUGUCGCCCUAAAGUCAGAGUGACUUCGACUCUUCCGCAUCUAUUUUACUAAUAUAAAUUUCAAAGUUAAAUACACUUAUCGUCUUAAUAAAACUCUCAACAAAUCCGGAGACCAAACUUCAACACAUAGAAUUCCAGAGGAAUCCAUUAUGGCACCACGAUUAAAAUACUAUAAUCGACAGAUGUCACUUAACGCUUCAAAACCUACUUGAAGUUCGAAACAUUUAGUGACACCAUUAAAUUUCCAAAAUUCGCUGACUGUGACGCAACAACAAGUUUGUCAUAAUGCUAUGUCCAAUGACUUUUAUAAAGCGAACAACUCAAGGAAAAUAAUCCUAGAGUCAUUAUGUUUAACGCCUUAACCAACUUCAGCUAAUCCACGAUAUAGACAAAGUCAUCAGAAAGAUUGAUAUUCCUCAACUACUUCUCCAAAAUGUUCCAACUACACUCUUUAUUAGGAUGAUUCCAAGGACAAGAAAAUAUCCUUAAUUAGAGCUGUAAGGGCCAGAUCAUGUGCCGCCAUAACAAGCAUUAACCAAAAUAAUCCCAACUGACUUCCGUUGCGGACAAAGCAGUCUGUAAUUUGGCCGUCAAUCAAGACAUCUCUAAAUUGAUAGCCUUUUUACUAGCCACAAAUCCCCGUGACUAAUAAGCUCAAAAUUAGAGUCCUCAACAACUCGUAUAGGUACCUCUUUGAAUUACUAUGGGUACCUCACCACAUCACUUCAACCAACCUUUACAUCAAUAGAAUACACCACUACUUCAAACUUUCCUUCCAACUCUUCUCUCCUAGAAAUCACAUAAUUGAUUCCAAGAUCUCUGAUUGAACUAUUACAACCCCAUAUAUAUCCACCAUAAAUAGAAAACUCCAAGGCAUGAAUUUGCACAUUUCAAACAUUAUCGAUCCAUACAAGAUGCCCAACCUAGCAUCAUUAUCUUAGCCCAAUCAAUCGUUGAACAAAUGAAAGGAAUGCUAUCAAGCUUUUGAGUUUUCCUCAACUCACAAACUCGACUCCAACGAUUAUUGAUAUUAAAUUAAUGAUCCUCGAAAUAGGUGUAAUCUAUACACCUUUUCAAUACUCAACGCAGGAUAAUCACUUAAGAGGUCGGCAUACGGAGGCAUAGUCUUAGAGAUGCAGAUGUGGACUUUUAUGGCACAAAAUUGUCCAUAAAUAAGACAAGAACAACUACCUUACAAACCUAAUCAACACAUAGCAUCUAAAACAUAUAAUGCUAAUGGAUUCGCUGCGGUUGGACCAUCACUCUAUAGACACUAAGUAUGAUCAAGUGUAUGAGGUAGUAUUAAAAAGAGGAAGAAAUCUAAUAACCUAAUGCUCUGAUACCAACUGUCAGGACCCACCUCGAAUUGCACCCUGAAACCCGAAGUAAAUCCUACGGAGUCUACCUCUAAGGAAAAUUUACCGAGAAUUCGGCAUAACCUCCCUUAAAAAUGGACAACCCUAACUUGAAAAUACCUACAAAGACUUCUAAAAGCCAUCUUCAACCUUAUACUCCUAGAGCCUUCAUGGUCCCCAAAUUCAUAAUGCCUCCCAAAAUAUUCAGUAAUCUAAAUAAUUAAUCUCACAACCAACAUUCAUAGGUUCAGAGCAACUCUAAUAGGCAAGAAAACAAACAGAAAUAUAUAAAUGAGCAGAAGCUAUACUAUUGACUAUACCUCGUCUCUAUGUACACUCGACCUCAACUAUGUUAACCUGCAUAUUGAGCAUUUAAAACCGAAGGGCCCAGGGGAAAACAUUUGAAAACGUUAGAGUGAGUGAACAACAAUAAAUUUAAUAAAAUGAACAAAUAAAAAUAUUUAUGUUUUCCCAAUUUAAUUUCCAUAGAACAACAUAUACAUGCCUCAAGUGAUAAAACUUUUAACUCAUAAAAUAUCGAGCCUCUUAAGCUCUAAUAAAAAUCAGUAUGUAUUUACACACGUCCAUACUCCCUAUAUAAAUUUUAUGGAUUUAAAGAAAUUUAUAUAAGGCUAUUACGCUCGCGUCUAACGCUCACGUCACACCAUAAUGCGGUUAUUCGCUGCGCCAUUAAGGUUGAUAGACAUGUGUAUAUAUACGUGCCCAUACCCCCUAUAUGAAUUAAACACUCAUAUAGGGCUACUACGCUCGCGUUUAACGCUCACGUCACACCAUAAUGUGGUUAUUCACUGCGUCAUUAAGGUGGACAGACACAUAUGGCUAGCUAGCAUUUAUAUACAUACUCUCCUCAUAAAUAUAUAUAUAUAUAUAUUCACUGAAAAAUCCCAUUUUCGGUAACUCUCCAAAAUAAAUAAAAUCGUCAAAUUAAAAUGACGUCAUAUGCUCCAACAAAAGAAAUUGUUCAACAAUAAACCAUUUGCAUGCAUAUUAUUUAAAACAAAAAUCCACUCACAACUUUAGGCCUAAGCCUGAUGUCGAUCCGAGCUCUCUUCAGCUCGAGCCUCCUCACGUCAUGUUCAAAAUAUAUAAUUAAAUUCCCAACUACUAAUUCAACCCUUAUAAAAAAAGACAAAAUUUAAAGUGAGCCUUAAAUCCGCUCAUCCUUGCCCAUCUUCUCUAUUCUUAAUUCGAUAAGGCCUGAACUUCACCACAAGCACUGCGAGCCUUAUAAUAACCUUCUACAGUUUAAACAAUACAAAUCUAACGGCCGGAUUCUACCCCAUUAAUCGCCAAGUUCACCAAUCUUUGAAAAAUCUCAAACCUAUCCAAAACUCCUCCAAAAAUUCCAAACUUCACAUCAUUAGACUCCUCUCAACAUAAAAAAUUUAAUACCUUGAAAAACUACCUAAAAGAGGUGGUGACGCCGUCUGCCCCGCCGGCCAACAGCCCUUUUCCGACCACCUCCAAUGUCACAUCCCGACUCUUAAAUUUUUACCUUAUUUACUAGCUUGGUAUUAAUAUGAGUUUUACCGUCUUCGUCAAUGAGUUUAUAGUUUAAUUGGUCCCUAGAGGGGUUUUGGGGGACGAUUAUUUCGGAGGAAUUAUUCGUAAGGGAAAAAAAAUGUGACGCCGGUAAAAAUGGUAAAUUUUAGCUAGUAAAAAGAUGAGUUUUAUUAGGGUAUUAUUUUUGGGGUGUUAUUUUGAAGGGGGUUUUUAAGUUGGACCGGGUCAAAUUAUAGUGGAAAAGCCCACUCUCUCUCUCUCUCUCUCUCUCCUCUCCCUAUUCCCCAGCCUUCUUCCUAGACCGUUGAGAGCCGCCCUAGCUCCGCCGUGAAGGAGUUAUCUCGCCCGAAAAGUCCGAUUGCCGUGGUGGUUCUCUCGCCAGGACUCCCUCCUCCGGCCGCCACAACUGGAGCUACUUGGCUCAAAAGGAAGCUCUCCUCUCGUGCAUUCAUCCCUCCAAAGGAUUCACUCCCUCUUGAGCUAGGUAAGGAGAAAUGUCAAGUUGAAUUUCUAGGGUUCUUGGUUGUGUUUUUGUUCGAUUGACAUAGUUAGGCUUAGAAUUAGAGUUUGUGCUAGUUAGGAGAGUUGUAGAGUCUGUUGAGAAGAUGAAGCAGUUAAAAUUUGGUAGGUAUUGGGGGUCGCCGGAGUCGGCCACCGCUGCCGGCGGAGCAGACGGCGGCGGCGCCGUUGUUAGGGGGAUUUUCAUGGUUUUAAAUUUGUAAUAUUAAGGGGAGUUUAAUGGAAUGAAGUUUAGAAUUUUUUGAGGAGUUUUGAAUAGGUUUUGGAUGUUUUGAAAGAUUGGUGAAUUUGGCAGUUAAUUGGGUAGAAUCCGACCGUUGGAUUUUCUUUAUUAUUGUUUUAAAAUAUUGAAAUAAAUGAAUUGAGGCUGAGGUUGGAGUUUGACGUGAAUCCGAUAAGCUUAACCCUAGAAAGGGUAGUGGGUUAGGCAGAAGAUUUUUGGGUUAUAUAUUUAUGUCACCUCCCGGUUCUUAAAUUAAAUUACGGUUAUUUACUUUUGGUAUUACUUUGACUUUUACCGCUUUGAGUAACCGUUUACUGUUAAGGACCCUAUAGUUGACUUUUUGUAGGAAAGCUAUUUUGUGAAAAUUUCUUUAAGGAAGUUGUAGAGGACGUUAAUAUGAGUUCGUAGACAUGUUAUACGUUAAAAUCGGAGUUAGCAUGAAAAAGUUAUCAAAUUAAAGGGUAAAUUAUUUGAGUUGGUAAAAUGGGGUAAAUUUUUGGUAGGCUUUAUUUUUGGGGUUUAAGUGAGUGGACCGGUUGGAAAAAAAAAAAAAGCCCAACCUUUUCUCUUCUCUCUCCCUUCUCUCCCGAGUCCCCCGAGCCCCUCACUUCUGUCGGAAACUUCCCAGCUCCAUCUGUCGACGUCCGACCAGCAACCGACCGCCGCUCCAGCCCAGUUGGAACCCCCGUCACCUCCUCUCUCUUCCUAGACCGGUGACCGGGUCUCUGACGCCGCCGAUGGAGGGAAAUCCCGUCGGAGACGCCGACUGUCUUCUUACCGGAGCUCCCUCCUCCGGCCACCAAAACUUGUGAUUUUUGGCUCAUCUUAUAACUCUUAUCAAGGUUAGUAAUCCCUCAAAAGGAAUUGGCUAAAUUCGAUCUUGGUAGGGAGAAAUGUAUAAUUGAAGUCCUAGGGCUCAAUUUAAGUUUUUAGUUCGAUUAACCUAGUUAGGCUUAGAAAUGGAUUUUGUGCUAGUUAAGGAAGUUGUUGUGCAGGUUGAGGGGAGUGUUGUGUUAAAAUUUGGGAAACAUUGGAGGUCACCGGAGUACGGUUGCCGGCGGAGCAAGCAGUGGCGCCACCCCUUAAGGACAGUUUUUCAUGUUUUUGAGAUUGUUUUAAUGAGAGGAGUUUAGUGAUGUGAACUUUGGAAUUGUUGGAGGAGUUUUGGUUAGGUUUGAGAUUUUUCAAGAUGGAGAAUUUUGGCGGUUGUUAGAAUGAAAAUUCGGCCAUUGGAUUUCCUUGGUAUAUAUUCUAGAAUGUUAGAAUUGAUGAAUUAAGGUUGUGGUGGAGUUUGAUGUGAAUCCGGUAAACUUAACCCUAGUAAGGGUAGUGGGUUAAGCGAAAGAGUUUUGGGUGUUUAAAUUUAAGUAUUUAUUUUCCGGAAUUGAAGUUUGGUCCUAAGCAUGGUUGUUGUACCAGGAUUCGAGGAGACCUCACUUGAGUGGCGAUUCGGAAUUCGUCAGGCUUAGGCCUAAAUCUGUGAGUGGACAUUUUGGUUUAAUUAAUAUGUAUGCAUGAUUUUAUAAGUUGCCUAUUAUAAUUUCCAAGCUUAAAUUGUAAUUUUAGCUUAUGAAAUGGUCUUUGAAUUUAUUUGAUUUUGAUGCAUUGAUUAACUUUUGCGAUGAUUUAUGGAAUUUAUUUGAGAUUGCCAUAUUGCUCAUAGAAUUUAUUUGAGAUUGACAUAUUGGUUAUGUUUUCAAUAAUGAACUUAUGGAUUUGAGCUUGGGUUAGAGAUUUGGUAUUUGAGUUUUAAUAUUCUUUAUGAUUUUCGGAUUUGAGAUUAUAUCCAGAAUUGCAUAUUGCCUGGUUUUCGAAAGAUGAUAAUUAUUUAAGUUAAGUAUUUCUUUGAGCAUUUUAACGUGUGGGACAUGUCAUUGAAUUUAAUGAAUUUCUUUGCUCUUUGAAUUCUUUGAGUAUGGUUGGGAAUCGUACUUAUGCUUUAGUUAUGAGUUUCGGGGAAACUCACAUAGAUUUAUGUUUCUUUAUUUAUGCCAUACUUGUCGGAUAAUAUAUUACUAAUGCUAGCAUGUUGUUCCUCCUUUCGAGACAAUGUGACUUCCACGUUUUAAGUGGGGUUACUCAAGCCCUUUCCGCCUUCGGGUGAUGUGAUGUAGUCGACGACAUCACGCAAGCCCUGCACCCUCUCCGUUAUUAUAACGUGAAAGUGUAGGGAGUAUUGGAGUACUUUUUUCUGGGAGGAACCUGAGCCUGGGAGGCUCACUUGUAUGGCUAUAGCUGCUUCUUAUUUAAUAUUUAUUGACUUGACUAGCGGGGCUAGUCCAUCUUUUUGAUAUUUCAUUUUACAAACGUCUUUAUGUACCAAUAAUGUUGUUUUUGACUAGCGGGGCUAGUCCGUUAUUUUGGUACUUUUUUUUGCAAAGGUUAUUAUUUAUUUUUGUCGUUAAUUUGACUAGCGGGGCUAGUCCGUUUUCUUGGGAUUUUUUCUUUAUGAAAGUUUUAUCAACACUUGCAUGCAACAGAUUUCUUGAUUAUUGGAAAAUGGGAAAGUAAUUAAGUUUGGUUAGUUAUGUUCCGAUCAGUUACUUGAUUAUUUUUCGUCCACUCACUCUAACGUUUUAAAUUACUUUCCCCUUGGCCCUUUGGUUUUAAAUGCCCAGUUUGCAGGCUAAGUCUAAGUGAGGUCGAGUGUACAUGGAGUCGAGGCAUAGUCAGAGGCUGCUUCCGGUUAUUCUUUAUUCAUUAUUUUUCUUUCAUUAUAGAUAUUGUCUGAUAACCAUUUGAGAUAGUUAUUAGAGCAAAUGCACCGGUGGGUUAAUUGAAAAGGCAAUUAGUGGGACCCGCUACUUUUCAGCCAAAGAAUGAAUGCAGCGGCAAAAUUUCGCCCGGGCAAAUCAUGGGGCCCGCUUUGCAGAAAUUGCCUUGUCAAUCCAGUUGCCAAUUUUUGGCAAUCAAUUCACCCAGGCAAUAAGAAGUAGGGUCCACCAUAAUUAGCUGCAACGGCUCUAUAAUUUCUGCUGUAACAGUCAAAAGUUUUCCUAUAAAUACUCAUCUUCAUUCUAUAAUUUCUCACACCAAAACUUUCAAAAGUUUUCCUCCCCAUCUUCUUCCUUCAUCAAUUUUAAAAUGUUGUUUAGGAAAUCAUGUAAUUUAUUCCGCUUAUGUAAUUUUAAUUUCAUGAAACAAAAGUCUAUGCAUUGAAUAAAGUAAUAAAUAAACUCAACAACAUUAAUACACUACCAGGACAAGCACUUUAGCCGACGAAAAAGUUUCGUCGGCCUGUUAGCAAAAUUUGUCGGCUAAGAUCUUAGCCGAUGAGCCUUCGUCGGCUAUGAUUUCGUCGGGAAAGAGUCGUUGGUGAUGACUUUAGCCGACGAAACAAGAAGAUGUCGCCAGCUAUUGUCCCAGAAAUUAGCCGACGAAAAAGACGUCGUCGGCUAUUGUCCCAGAAUUUAGCCGAUGAAUAUCUUAAAUGUUUCGUCGACCGUAGUCUGAGAGUUUAGCCGACGAAACAUUUAAGAUAUUCGUCUGCUAAAGUAUGUAAUAAAAAAUUAAAAAAAAUAACUAUAGCCGAUGAAAUAUAGUCUGUUUCGUCAGCUUUAGAAUGGUUUAGCCGAUGAAUUAACAUGCCGUAAUUCGUCGGCUAAACCUUAUAAAAAAAAUUAAAAAUACUAUAGCCGACGAAUAUCUUACAUGUUUUGUCGGCUAUAAGUCCAUUCCAGUAAAAAAAACCCGAAAUUUCUAAAUUACCAUUCCAAGCAAGCUGCAAAAUACAUCAAAACAAUUUCAUAUAACCAACAACAAGCACAUAAAACUAUAUAAUUGAUCAACUACACAAAAUCUAGAUCGUCUAAAUCAAUAUCCGAUUCUAAGGGCUGCUGCGGAGGAGGUUGCGACGGUUGAGGUAGCGGUAUAGGCGUAGGCAUGGGCGAAGCCGGAAGUCCCUGAAGUUGGGCAGCUGUAAACUCCUGCAAAACUGGAACAUCUGCUGCUGCUGGGCCUGCUAGGUGGCAUAUACCGCGGCAGUAUAGGUUGUCUGCUCGGCGAUCUGGGUGGCAUGAGCGGCAGCCUGAGCAGCUUGCUAUUCUCGUAGUCUCUCAACUUCCGACUCUAGCUGAGUCGUGCUGUUGCUGGUCGAGGCUGCCUUUCGUUGAAAUCCUGGAGUGGUCUUCAGGACCCCCUCGCCCUUCUUUCCUAGACCCCGGCAGUAGAAGUUGUUUCCUCACGGUGGGAAGGCUGUGCCCAUGAUCCUCGCCCCAACCCUCGAAUCCGAAGUGUCGAUCCGGGACAUGGCUCCGGACAUCUCUUCCUCAUGCGUGUCCGGUCAUGCCUCUCUCACUAUAGCACUCAUCACCUCGUCACUAGCCUCCCUCACCUUAGCCUAAUUAGAUAGGAAAAAAUGAUUAAUUAACAUUUUGACAUAUAUAUAAGUAAAAUUAAAAAUUUAAAAACGUAAGAUGACUUACAAUAUCCUCCUGGGCGUCAGGAUAUGUCUUCUCGUACGUAUAGACGUACCGGUUGACUUCUGGAAGUUCCCUAGCCACCUCGUCCAUGAAGACAGCGAACGGUCUAGAACCGGCAUGAUGGUUCCUUGUGUUGUGUUGCCGAUUCUGAGCGUUCGCCCGGGAAACGGCCUUCAAAGAUAAAAAUAAACUAUUUGUAAAAUAUUUAAAAACGAACGUACUUAAUGAAAAAUUAACUAAUUAAUUUUUUAAAUACCUGUUUAUGAGGGUUGUUGAAUUUUGAUGUUAGAAGCCAACGCCACUCGUACUCCUUGUACUGGAACUCAGCAGGGGUAUCAGAACGUGCGUUCCCGUGCGUAGUCCAGUGGGUCCGCAACUCGUUCUUCCACUCCUUGUACCUACAGAUACAACAAAAAUAUUAGAAAUAUUAUUAAUAUCACAUACAAUUUUGUUUUUUCAUUAACUUCCCAACAUACCUUCCCCCAUGCACAACGUCCGCCCAGCUGUUUUUUAGGUGCUCGGGAACGUCAAACCACACUGCAUUUAACCGUUUAUUAGUUUAGUUUUUCGAGAAAUCAACAAUGUAAUACAUAAUAUUAUUGAGGCAUUUUGUAAACUCGCCGACAUCGUGUUGUGGACCAUGUCCUUAACCUCCUGCGGGACCUCGCCCCAGUCUGACCACAACAUAGGGACUCUAUCCCUAAUGAGCGCUCCCACGCGGCCGGAGUACGUCCUCGACUUCCCGCCCGAUACUAUGUGGCCAUCCCCGUCAGUACCAAUGACGAUCCUCCCUAAGGUAUUGACCGUCUUCUCGAGAGCCUUCCUUGUGACGAGGCCUCUCUUCUUCUUUGUCGGUUUCGCUCCGACGGUGCCUAUCACAUGAUAAACCAAUUUGAUUAUUAAAAUCGGAGACCCUUUAUUAUUAAUUAUAAGAAAACAAAUCAUUCAUCUUUCAUUACCUGAGGGUGGUGCGGCAGACACGACGGAUUCCGUCUUUGUCGCCGAUGACGAUACCCUCGCGAAAAUAAGAGGCGUAUCAAAAGGCACGAACCGGUACGCCGUUGAUGAAGCCACUGGCGGGGGCAAUGAAUAAAUGGGCGUCCCUGAGACAUCGACUGCAGGUAAGGCCGGCGUCCUUGAGCCAUCCGCGGAAGGAACAGAUGAGGCGGUGGCAUCUGUACUCUAGAUGACCCACCAUCCGAAGCAGUAGGACCUGGAGUGGGUGCCUGGUGUAUCUCAGGCAUACGGGGUGCAGACACCUUCGUCUGGGUCUGAGGCCACAGCUGCCUCGAGGAAUGACCGACGCCUGGCUGAAGGGGGCACCUCCUGCUGUCUCGAGGAAUGGGAAAUGCUCGGCUACCUCUGCGCCGUCUCCAGAAGGGUCGUACGUCUGGCUGUCAUGGGGCCCCGAAACAACGUUUGAGGGUUGCUAGAGGUUCCCUCAGACGAUUUGGACCUUUGGCCCUUCGAACCCUUUGUCGAUCUAAAAUUACCGCUCAUCUUGUUUAAAAUAUUAAUUUGAAUCAAGGCUGAGGAAGAAAAGUGAAUGAAUAUAUCUUUUUACUAAAAAGAUAUGUGGAGGUGCCCUGUAGGAGUUAAGGAGUAGAUUUGGGUAGAUUUUUUUUAUUAUAUUCCAAACAUGAAUCUUGUAAUGUAAUGUUAUUGCGUAGGUCGAUAGAUUUCUUCAACUUUUUAUAUGGGCUAAUGCUCAUAUACAUGCUUAUUUUAUGAAACCCUACCUUAAACUAUUGUAAAGAAGAAAAAAAGUCUCUGGGCUGAGUCUCCACUAUCUUCUGUCCUUGGUCAUAUCUUUCUUAUAUAUUUCCAGCAAUUCAGUAAUUCAUUACUUAACAACACAACAAUUCAAUUGAAUAAGCAUACUAGCAGCCUAGUUCAUUCAAUUGACUUCAAAUUCUAUUUUUUUCCCUUGAAAAAGUGCUUACAAGCAUAUUUUUAAAGAACUAUAGCAUCAAUCCAAAACAAAAGCAAUAAAAAACAUAUAAUAAACACCUGAAGCUAGUCAAUAGAAAGAAACGGUGACUAUACAUGCUGACCUCUAUAAUGCUGCAAAUUUCUAAAUUCAAAAACAUCCUUCAACCCUAGAUUAUAAAGACAAUAGUAAAACUGAACUUCCAUCCUAGAUUAAGUUCUGAAUAUCAACCUAUCGAUCACUCGAAAAAAGAGACAGCUCCCAAAUAACUGCCAAUGAGAAAACCAAGCCUAAACUAGACAACCAGACUAGAUUUUGAUUUCCUAAGGUAACUCUGGGAAAAGACUACACCUUUACUCACUAAUCACUAAAUAUCGGUUAUUCACAGAUCGAUUCGCUCCUACUCGCUUCAACCCGGAGAACUAAAUAGAACAAUAAUCAUAAAUAACACAUAAUGAUAAAAUUGAAAUUUAAAGUUUCGGCAUUUCCAAUUAAACUCACUGUUUGAUAGGAAAGAAUUGAACAGAGAGAAUUGAAAGCCCUAAUUUUACAUACAGAGAGAAGCAAAUAGAGAGAAUUGAACAGUACCAGAACAAGUAACGACGGCGAGCAGACGGCGAGCAGGCGAAAUUUUUAGGGUUUUUUGGAGGGUUGUGGAGGCUGUCGAGUGCUGGGUUUAAUUAUAUACCCUAUAUCUUUAGCCGACGAAAUAAAAAUUUCGUCGGCUAAACCUGUGAAAUUCAUCGGUUAAACUUAUGAAUCUCGUCGGCUAAACCUGUGAAUCUCGUUGGCUAAAGUAAUGAAAUUCGUUGGCUAUAGUACUUUUUAUUUAAUAUUUUCAAUUUAUUUGUUUUAUUUAUUUUAUUAACUAUAGCCGACGAAUUUUCAAUAAUGUCGUCGGCUAUAAUACUUUUUAUAUAUUUGGCACAUUGUGAUUGUGAUGAUCAAACUUGAGAAAUGAAAAUCCGACCGUUAAAUCUGACCAUCAUGAUAAAAUACAUGUAUGGGAAAAAAUUCGACUUGAUCUGACAAGGUUAAGGGCUUGAUCCAGACAGUCAAUCCCGUAAGUCAAACCCCUAAACGCACGUAAAAGGUCAUUGGACCGUCUAAAUUACGUAUUUUGGCCAAACCUUCCACUGAAAAUAGUUUCAAAUCGAUGAGACGCAACAAGUCGUAUAAAAAUUUUACGAAAAAUAACCACCGAAGAUAGGGCUACCCAUAGGGAGAAAGAAUGGAAAAUUACAUUGACCAUAACUAUCGGCACCGAGACUUUACCAGAAUACGUGAUUUUUCAAACGUAGACGUAUUUCACCAUUCUGGUCAUAUCUUAUUUCACGACUUUUUUGCGUUUGAAGGUUCUACGUAUAGUUUGUUUUUGAAACGAAACAUUUACUUAACACUUGGUAAACAAGUUAUACAACAUUAGUAGGCAUGUUGUGACUGUGAUGAUCAAACUUGAGAAACGAAAAUCCGACCGUGAGAUCUGACCAUCAUGAUAAAAUACAUGUAUAGGAAAAAAUUCAACUUGAUCCGACAAGGUUAAGGGCUCGAUCCGGACGGUCAAUCCCGUAAGUCAAACCCCUAAACGCACGGAAAAGGUCAUUGGACCGUCAAAAUUACGUAUUUUGGCCGGACCUUCAACUGAAAAUAGUUUCAAAUCAAUGAGACGCAACAAGUCGUAUAUUAGGGUAUUCGUCGGCUAAGAUUUAGGGUUUAGCCGACGAAAUAUUAGGGUAUUCGUCGGCUAACCGCAUCUUAGCCGACGAAUUAUGAUUUAUUUAAGAUGGUUUUAGCCAACGAAAUAUACUAUAAUUUGUCGGCUAAGAUGGUUUAAGCCGACGAAUUAUGGUAUAUUUCGUCGGCUAAAGUAUAAAAAGUACAUUAAAAAAACAAAGGUUUAAUAUAAACCAUACUAACUUCAUGUUCAUAUAUCACCAAAAUUCAUAUAAAAUAACAGAAAUAUGAAUUCAACAUAUGUAAACUAUAAAGGUAAUACAUUCUUUUUUAUGACAAAUUAAUGGAUUACGUCCUCUAAAUGAAAACUAAGGCUCGUAAUCGGAAUCAUCCGAAGAGUCUUUUUCGGUGUCAGAAUUAAUUUUUGGUAAUCUAUGCCUUUCCUCAUCGCCAGAGUCUUCAUCUAUUUCUUGAUUUGGAUCAACAUCAAUAAGCCUAGGGCUCUUCAUCACGAAUUCGCACUGAACGACCCGCUUUAAAAUUAUUAAGGCGAACGGUAGAGGAGUUAGGAAUACCUAUUGCGCUGGGCUCUUGAUACGCAACAUCUUCUUCCUCGUCUUCGGCCUCUCCAAGUGUAGCCACCCGGUAAAUGUUUCGAGGGUGCACAAUGUUGACUACUUUCCACGCGUCACCCUUAGCAAGAUCAUCAAGAUAAAACACUUGUUUUACCGAUGUGGCAAAAAUGAACAGGUCAUCUUCGUAACAACUUGUAGUAGUGUUCACCGAUAAUAUUUCGUACUGAUCGGUCUUCAUGCUCUGCGGCCUAGUAUCAAACCAUCUACACUUGAAGAGGUGCACUGUCAUGCCUUGCCCAUAAACGAGUUCCACCACUGAAUGGAGAACACCGUAAUAGUCAACUCCAUUCCGCCCACCAUGCGCCAUCACCCCAGAAUUCUGUGUUCUCCAUCUGCUGUCUCUCUGUUCACAUAUAAAUUGCACGCCAUUCACCUUGCACAUCAGAUAACUGUUGACAUUAUCGGCUUCAUCGCUAGAAGUUUUAGUUCGUGCGACCAAUUUGGGUGACCAUCAAAUUGAAUAUGGUUCAUCUGCAACCAACCAUUUAACUAUAAAUAUGGAUAAUUAUGCAAUAAACAUAUAUACGUACAAAAAUAUUGAAUUACGUACCCAGCCGCCAAAAUAGUUUGCGAACUCCCUGUUGUGGUACUCGAGAUCACCUUGAAUGUCUGGAUAAUAUAGAUGGAUGUCUUUCCAGUAUUCAACUUCUGGACAGUUAAUCGAUACCCACCAGUGGACAAUGACUAGCUCAUGGUUGCAACUUGUAGGAGUCUGACAAAAUUUCAUAAACUUCAACAUCACUGCAGAGUAUGGAAAGAUUGAACUUCGGUACAUCUACCGGUAUGGUUUGCGGAGUUUCCUUCAACGCUUCUAAAUACAACUUCAUGUAGGUGACGCACUCGUGUGCAAUAUAUGCUUCAGCUAUACAUCCUUCAGGCGCGGAUUUAUUAGCCACAUAAUCUUUGUAGUCUCUAAGUUGCCUAUAAAUCAAGUUGCAAAGUGUUAUGAUUAUUAAACAUGUAUAUUGAGGAAUUCAGGUGUAAAAAACGUACCUUUCCAUGGGAUACAUCCAAGUGUAGUGUACUGGACCGGUAAACAACAAUUGCUCGGGAAGAUAGAUCAUCAGGUGAGGCAUGAUGUCAAAAAAAUUUGGAGGAAAUAUCCUCUCAAAUUUAUAUAUGAUAUAAAUGAUGUCCUCUUGCAUUUCCCGGAGGUUAGAUUUUUUCACUUUCCAUGUGCAUAACUUCUGAAAGAAUCUUGCCAACGCUACUAACGGCUCCACCACCUGACGGGGAAGGAACGGUCGAAUGAAACCAGGGAGGAGACGUUGUAGCAGGAUAUGACAGUCAUGACUCUUCAACUUGUACAUCUUAUUGUCCCGGAAGUUCACACACCGGGCUAUAUUUCCUGCAUAACCUGAAGGAUACUUCACACAACUCAUCCACCUGAAAAUUACGUUUUUUUUGUCAGGCUUCACGGUGUAAGGAGCUUGAGGCAUUUUUUCCUUCCCUUCUUUCAACCACAGAUGUCUUCUUAUAAGCAUUUUUUGUAGAUCAAUGCGUGCCUUAAGACCUUCUUUCGUCUUCCCCUCCAGGUUCAGCACUGUGCCCACCACACUGUCGCAAACAUUUUUUUCUAUGUGCAUCACAUCUAGGUAGUGUUUAAUCAACAACUUACUCCAGUAUAGGAGUUCCCAGAGUAUGUGUCCAGAAUUUGUACUUGUCGGGUAUUUCAGGUAUUGCCGCCACAAUAUUGGGAUGAUUACUGAGUUGCCCAAAAUCGUACUCAUUAAGCACUGCUAAAAUUUCUUCCCUCAUCCAUCUUUUAUGAGGCGCACCGUUUUCUACGGUCCCAUCAAAUGCCUUGUCAUCGAACCGCCAUUCGUGAUUAUAUGGAAAGAAAGUACGGUGACCUAAUUUGCAUAUCUUGUUGCAAUGACUGCUGCUCCCUUCAUCGCUAAGGCACUCUGGACAAGCCUUGUAUCCCCUAACAACGUUGCCAGACAACAUUCCACGGGCAGGAAAAUCACUAAUGGUACCAACUGUUGGAGAGGAAAGAUCCCACAUCAGAAAAGUGACAAAUAAAAUACAACUUAUAAGUGGAUGGAUCAUAUCCAAUUGUACCGAGGCCUUUUGUGAUUAAAACCCAACACCUUAAAGGUGGUUAAGUUGGGACAGUAUCGGUACAAUGAUGAUCCACCGGCCACACUUGUCCCUGUUCUAGUUGGUAUCAGAGCGGGUCCCUCUUCAAUUACUUCUCCUAACGUAACGGGAGAAAGUCUCCCAACAUAAUGAGCCCAGAAUUGGGUUCAUCAAAUUGCCAUCGGAAAAAUUCCGAUUGGCCCAUACCAAGUGCCUGCAAUAGGUCUUGGACUGAAGCAUUACCGAUUUUCGAUGUGGGAAUUGGGCAGAAUGAAUUCCACGUACAGACCUAAAAUGUUAGGUUGCACGUGACGGGAAGUGUUGGAGAGGAAAGAUCCCACAUCAGAAAAGGGAUAAAUAAAAUACAACUUAUAAGUGGAUAGAUCACACUUAAUUGUACCGAGGCCUUUUGUGAUUAAAACCCAACACCUUAAAGGUGGUUAAGUUGGGACAGUAUCGGUACAAUGAUGAUCCACCGGCCACACUUGUCCCUGUUCUAGUUGGUAUCAGAGCGGGUCCCUCUUCAAUUACUUCUCCUAACGUAACGAGAGAAAGUCUCCCAACAUAAUGAGCCCAGAAUUGGGUUCAUCAAAUUGCCAUCGGAAAAAUUCCGAUUGGCCCAUACCAUACCAAGUGCCUGCAAUGGGUCUUGGACUGAAGCAUUACCGAUUUUCGAUGUGGGAAUUGGGCAGAAUGAAUUCCACGUACAGACCUAAAAAGUUAGGUUGCAUGUGACGGGAAGUGUUGGAGAGGAAAGAUCCCACAUCAGAAAAGGGAUAAAUAAAAUACAACUUAUAAGUGGAUAGAUCACACUUAAUUGUACCGAGGCCUUUUGUGAUUAAAACUACAACACCUUAAAGGUGGUUAAGUUGGGACAGUAUCGGUACAAUCAUGAUCCACGGGCCACACUUGUCCCUGUUCUAGUUGGUAUCAGAGCAGGGAGACGUAAUUGAAGAGGAACCCGCUCUGAUACCAACUAGAACAGGGACAAAUGUGGCCCGUGGAUCAUCAUUGUACCGAUACUGUCCCAACUUAACCACCAUUAAGGUGUUGGGUUUUAAUCACAAAAGGCCUCGGUACAAUUAAGUGUGAUUGAUCCACUUAUAAGUUGUAUUUUAUUUAUCCCUUUUCUGAUGUGGGAUCUUUUCUCUCCAACACCAACAACCAUGACAUGCAUCUGGAACAUCUCGUGCAUCUACUUGUCAUAAGUGGGAUAACCAACGUCCCAAAAAAACUUAAGCUCUUCAAUCAAAGGUCUCAAAUACACAUCGAGACACUUCCCUAGAUAACCAGGCCCCGGAAUCAACAAACUCAAUAGGUUGUAUUCCUUCUUCAUGCCCAUCCAUGGAGGAAGGUUGUACGGUACCAAAAUCACCGGCCAUACACUAUAUUGAAGACUCAUGUUGCCAAAAGGGUUGAACCCGUCAGAUGAGAGCCCGAGCCUCACAUUUCAGACCUCUGACGCAAAAUGAGGAAACUCCCUGUCUAUAUGCUUCCAAGCCUCCCAGUUAGCAGGGUGUAUAAGGGUAUCUUCGUCAUACAAUUCCCUAUCAGCGUGCCAUCUCAUAGCUUCGGCCUUGUGUGAAGACAUGUACAACCGCUCCAGCCUAUCCCUCAACGGGAAAUACGGAAAUACCUUCACAGGUUUCCUAUUGCCUGCAGGAGUCAGCUUAUACCUAUCAGUGUGCCAUACCGGACAUGAGUCAAGGCCACCAAGGUCAUUCCCUUCUAGAUCUUUACCGUAGAAGAGAACGCAAUCAUAUCUGCAUGCAUGGAUCUUCAUGUAGGAAAGCCCAAGAUCUUUUAGGAUACAUCGGACCUGAUGAUGAGUGGUAGGAAGACGAUGACCGUGGGGCAGCAUCGAAGCAGUGUACUGUAGAUAAUCAUCAACAGCCUUCACGGUCGAUUUUGUCUCAACUUUAAUCUUCAUUACGUCUAUCACACUUUCAAGAACGGUCUUCUGACAACCGGGGUACACAAGGGUCUGUUGGAAAGCAAGCAGUUUGUUGUACUUGUCAAUACCAGCAGUGUUGACAACUCUAGGGAAGGGCUGCACCGGCUCAGGCAUAUACUGUCCGUGAGUGCAUACAACACUCUCAUAAGGAAACAUGUCGUUGAUGAAGGCCGUUGUUGGAUCGUUGGAUGUACUGCCUGUCUCAGAAAAUUGCCCAUGAUCAUGAGGACCCCCUGAUGAUGUUUCACCGUGAUAUAACCAACAUGUGUACUUCUCCCAAAACCCGUUACUCUUCAAGUGCUGCCAUACUUUAUCAAUCGCAAAUCGAUGCAUAUCGCUGCGACACUGACAUUUCGUGCACGGGCAAUAGAAAAUUGUAUUCCUGUUAGCAUUAGUCAGCGCAUAUUCCAGAAAACUCAUAACUUAUAUGGCCAUAUAGGAUAUUUUAUUUGAGUUGUUAAUUUGACUAACGGGGCUAGUCCAUUAUUUUGGAAGUUUUUUAUAUGAGGAAUCCGUUUAUUUUUCUUAUUGCUUUAUGACUAGAGGGACUAGUGUGAAUUUUGAUGAGAUUAUAAUAUUUGCAUGCAUGAAAAUUCUUAAUUUCCGUAUAAAUAGAAAAGCAUAUAAAAUUUUGUUUUAGUAUUAUUUUGUUCUUGGAUACUUAUUAAUUAGUUUAUUUUUCAUCCACUCACGCAAACGUUUUAAAUGCUUUUCCCUAGGCCUUUUGUUUUCAAAUGCCCAGAUUGCAGAGCUCCUGUUCGGUUUCACUAGGUGACACAACCCACCCCGAAUUUCACCCUGAAACCCAAGGUAAAUCCUGUGGGGUCCACCUUCAAGGAAAAUUUACCGAAAAUUCGGCAUAACCUUCCUUGAAAAUGGACAACCCUUACCUAAAAAAUCCAACUUAACACUUCUAUAACCAAACAAACCAGCCUCAACACCUGGAGCCUUCCUGCUCCCCAAGAUCAACACAUCUCCCAAUAUAACAAUUACUCAACUCUAAUAAUCCCACAACCAAGAAUAAGGACUAUUAAUAAUUUACUAUUGGACUUUCAGAGCAUAUCUAAAGUUGAACGAAAAACAACAAAUAAAGAAUAUGCGGAAGCAGCCUCUGACUAUGCCUCAACUCCAUGUACGCUCGACCUCCUUUAAAACUUAGCCUGCACACUGGGCAUUUGAAACCGAAGGGCCCAGGGAAAAGUAAUAUAAAAACGUUAGAGUGAGUGGACGAAAAAUUAAACAAAUAACAGAUCGCAACAUAACUAACCAAACUUAAUUACUUUCCCAUUUUCCAAUAAUCAAGAAAUCUGUUACAUGCAAGUGUUGAUAAAACUUUCAUAAAGAAAAUCCCAAGGAAACGGACUAGCCUCGCUAGUCAAAUUAAUGACAAAGAUAAAUAAUAACCUUCAUAGAAGAAGGUACCAAAACAAGGGACUAGCCCCGCUAGUCAAAACGACAAUAAUAAAUAAGAAACAAAUAUAGCCAUACAAGUGAGCCUCACAGACUCGGUUGCCUCCCAGGCAAUAGUACUCUCAUACUCCCUACACCUUCAUGUUAUGAUAACAGAGAGGAUGUAGGGCUUGCGUAAUGUCGUCGACUACAUCACAUCACCCGAAGGCGGAAAGGGCUUGAGUAACCCCACUUAAAACGUGGAAGCUACAUCUCCUCGAAAGGCGGAACAACAUGCUAGCAUUAGUAAUAUAUUAUCCGACAAGUAUGGCAUAAGUAAAGAAUCAUAUAUCCAUGUGAGUUUUCCCGAAACUCAUAAUUAAAGCAUAAGUACGAUUCCCAACCGUACUCAAAGAAUUCAAAGAGCAAAGAAAAUAAUUAAAUUCAAUGAAGUGUCCCACACGUUAAAAUGCUCAAUGAAAUAAUUAAUUUAAAUAAUUUUCACCUUUCAAAAACCCGGCAAUAUGCAAAUCUGGAUAUAAUCUCAAAUCCGGAAAUCAUAAAGAAAAUCCAAACUCAAAUCUCAAAUUAUCAAUCCGAGCUCAAAUCCAUAAAUUAUGACCAACAUUUAAUCCAUGCAUCAAUCUCAAAUAAUUUCCAAGAUCAUUUCAUAUGCCGAAGUUAUAAUAUAUGCUCAGAAAAUAAAAUACUAAUUUAUAAAAUCUUGCAUGCAUGUUAAUUAAAAACCAAAAUGUCCACUCACAGAUUUAGGCCUAAGCCUGACGAAUUCCGAAUCACCACUCAAGCUUGGUCUCCUCGAAUCCUGGCACAACAACCAUGAAUAAAAAAUAUCUAACUCUCUUCCGUUUAACUCACUACUCUUAUUAGGGUUAAACUCACCAGAUUCAAAUCAAACUCCACCACAACCUCAAAUCAUCAAUUCUAACAUUCUAGGCUAAAUACCAAGGAAAUUCAAUGGCCGGAUUUUCAUUCUAAUAACCGGCAAAAUCCUUAAUCUUUUAAAAAUCCCAAACCUUAUCAAAACUCCUCCAAAAAUUCCAAACUAUAUUUCAUUAAACUCCUCUCAUUAUAACAAACCCAAAAACCUGAAAAUCAACCUCCAAGUGGUGGCGCCGCCGCCUGCUCCGCCGAUAGCGGCGGCUGGCAGCCGUACUCCGACGGCGACCAAUGCCUCCCAAAUUUUGAUAAAAUAAUCCUCUCAUCACGCACAACAACUUCCAUAACUAGCACUUAGUCCAAUUCUAAGCCUAACUAGGGUAAUCGAAUCAAAACAUCUAAAAAUCCCCCAAUUCAAACCCUAGCCCGAAAAUCCUCCUACACACUUCGAAUUGGAUCAUUACCUUCUAAGGAAAUGUUACACACGGAGAGCACUUCCCAAUGGAACUGAAAUCACUGGAAAUGGUGGCCGGAGGAGCGAGUUCCGGCGUCGGGACUCCACCACGCAGCCGGAGCUUCCGGGCGAGCUCUCUCCCUCACGGUGGCGCUAGGGCAGCUCUCACCGGUCCAGGAAGAAGGUUAGGUCGACGGCCGACCGUUUGGGACCGGUGCGCCGGUCUAUGGUGGCCGGACGGCGGCGGUCGGAGCCAAGAAAUCCGGCGGGUCGGGGUAGGCUCGGGAGAGAGAGAGAGAGAGAGAGAGAGAGAGAGAGAGAUGAGUUGGGCCUUUUGACCCCAUUUUUGACCCGGUCCACCAUUUAAAAUCCCACUCCAACAAUAAAACACCUCCAAAAAUAAUACCUACUAAAACAAUUAACCUCUCUUUACCAAAUAAAGUCUACUCUUUUUAUCUAAUAACUUUUUCAUGCUAACUCCGAUUUUAACGUUUAGCAUGUCUACGAACUCGUAUUAACGUCCUCUACAACUUUCAUGAAGAAAGUUUUUCCCAAAUUCCAAACGAAAGAAAAAGUCAACUUUUAGAGUUUUAAAUAGUAAACGGUUACUUAAAACAGUAAAAGGUCAAAGUAACCCAAAAGUAAAUAACCGCAAAUUGACUUAAGAACCGGGAUGUGACACUAGGAGUUGAGGCAUAGUUUUCCUGUUGCACCCUGUUGAUCGUAGGUUACCUGUUAACCUAUGUGUAGUAUUAUAUUUCCUUCUUGUAAUGCUCAGAUGACCCUCGGGAUAUGUAAAUUAAGUUGGAGUUAUUUUUAAGGGUUAUGACCCAAGUAGGGAGUUUAACUUUGGUUGAUGUUUGUGUUUAAAUAUUGUAGUUGAAUAUUGGGUUUGAUUUGGUUAAGCGUUUGAUUUUGUUGUGGGGAGCAAAGGGCUCCAGGCAAUGUGGUUGAUUGAUAUAAUUGUAGUGUUGGUUUUUCUUGCAGGUUGGGUUGCCCAUUUUUAAAGGAGCUUAUGUCGAAAUUUUGGUAUAAUCUCUUUUAGAGUGGACCUAGCAAGACUUGUCUGUUUUCCUGUGUUUUUUUGGGGCGGGUCUUGUCAGACUGUUGUACGAUUAAUCACAUUAUUAAUUAAUCAAAUUAUAAGUUUAACAUUUUCAAUUAAUAAGUUAUUCAAAAUUAAAAUGUAAUAAUGAAUUAGCAUGUAAAUUGCAUUCAAUUGGCAAAUCAGCAAUUGAUAAAGGAGAUGCAAUUGCCAAUUUGGGAUGAAUAGUGAAAUGACAAGGUCAAUUCAAUUGGCAAAUCAACAAUUGUCAAUUGCCUACGGGUGCAAUUGCUCUUAGUUGAUUAAGGCUUGUUGUAUUUUUGGGAGAUGUGUUGAACUUGAGGAGCAGGAAGGCUCCAGGUGUUGAGGCUGGUUUGUUUGUUUUUAGAAGUGUAAGUUGGAUUUUUUAGGUAAGGGUUGUUCAUUUUCAAGUUAGAUUAUGCCGAAUUUUCGGUAAAUUUUCCUUGGAAGUGGACCCCAUAGGAUUUACCUCGGGUUUCAAGAUGAAAUUCGGGGUGGGUCCUGUCAAUUUAAGUAUUAUUUUUCUGAAAUUGAAGUUUGGUCCUAAGCAUGGUUAUUGUGCCAGGAUUCGGGAAAACCUCUCUUGAGUGGCGAUUUGGAUUUCAUCGGGCAUAUACCUAAAGUUGUGAGUGGACGUUCUAUUUAAAUUAUAAGUAUGCGGUGAUUUUAUAUUAAAUGAAUGAUUUUAUUGAAUAUCAAUUUAUGGAAUUGUUUAUUUUCGUUAUUUUUAGAAGUAAAUGCUCUUAUUUUAUUUGUUAACUUCGCUAUUUGGAAAGUUACUAAAAAUGAGAUUUUCGGUGGAGUCAUAUACUUAUUGCUUCUUUUAUAAUUGGCAAUUUUCAUUAUUUUUGGAGAGUUACCGAAAAUGAGAUUUUCGGUAGAUAUGUAUAUGGAUGAUUAUGUAUAUAAAUAUGAGAUAAAUAUGAGGAUGUAUAUGGAUGAUUAUGAGAUUUUCAGUAGAUAUGUAUAUGGAUGAUUAUGAGGAUAGUAUGUAUAUAAAUAAAUGCUAGCUAGCUAGCUAUACGUGCUUUUCCGCCAUAAUGAGGUAAAAUUCCAUUAUGGUGUGACGUGAGAGUUAGACGCAAUCGUUGUAACCCUAUAUAAAUUUAGUAAUUUAUAUAGGGAAUAUGCACGUAUAUAUACACUCAUGCUUUUCCGCCAUAAUGAGGUAAAAUUCCAUUAUGGUGUGACGUGAGCAUUAGACGCAAGCAUAGUAGCCUUCUAUGAAUUUCAAUUUUUCUUAUACCUUCAUAGAAUUCGUACAAGGAGUAUGACGAGUGUAAAUACAUACUUAUAUAUAUCUAUAUAUUAUUUUAGCCUGAGAGGCUUCAUUUUAUUAAAUUUGGAGACUAGCCGAAGCUACUCAUGUAAUUACCAAUUGAUGAGUUGAGAGCUUUUGAGCUGUCCCAUGCAGCAUAUUUUCUAUGGAAAUUUAAAUUGGGAAAGCAUAAAUAUUUUUAUUAAAUUUAUUUUUGUACACUCACUCUAACGUUUGCAAAUGUUUUCCCCUGCGCCCUUCAUUUUAAAAAUGCACAGUUUGCAGGUUAGCAUAGUUGAGGUCGGGCGUACAUAGAGAAGAGGCAUAGUCAAUAGUAUAGCUUCUGCUCAUUUUUAUGUUUCUAGUUCCUUUCCUCUCAAUUAGAGUUGCUCUGAACUAUGAUUGUCGGUUGUGGGAUUCUACUUAUUAAAGUUAGUAAUUUUUUUUUAAAAAAAAAAACGUUUAAUUAAUAACUCACACACCCUAUAUAUGUCCGUGAGGUUUGAACCCGUGACCUCAAAGUUGUUAGUUAAACACCUUAACCAACCAAGCCACGGCUCACUGACAAAAAUAGGGAGAUGUUGUGAUUUGGGGAGCACAAAGGCUCCAGGGGUAAAGGGUUAUAGAUGGAUUCUUUUGGAGUGUAUGCAGGUAUUUUUAGGAAGGGUUGUCCAUUUUCAAGGGAGGUUAUGCCGAAUUUUCGGUUAAUUUUCCUUGGAAGUGGUCCCCGCAAGAUUUACUUCAGGUUUCAGGGUGAAAUUCGGGGUGUAUCGUGACAGUUGGUUUCAGAGCAUUAGGUUAUUCAAUUCCUUUCCCUUUUUAGCACUACCUCAUAUUCUUGGUCAUGGUUAGUGUCUAUAGAGUGAUGGUCCGAUCGCGAUGGAUGCAUUAACAUUAUAUGCUUUAGACACUAAGUGUUGAUUAAGUUUGUGAUGUGGUCGUUCUUAUUUUAUUUAUGGACCGUAGUGUGCCAUAAAUGUCUACAUCUCUAAGACUAUGCCUCGGUACGCCAACCUCUUAAGUAAAUCAUUCUGCUUUGAGAAAUGAAAAGGUGUAUGGAUCACGCCUUUUCCAAGGGUAUCGAGUUGAUAUCAUAAAUUGUUAGAGUUCAAUUGCGAGUUGAGAACUCCAAUUGGGAACUCAUAAGCGUGGCAUCACUCUUUUCUUUUUAUCAAUGAUUGUUUGGGUGAUGAUUAAGAUGCUAGAUUGGGCAAUUUGUGCAAAUCUGUGAUAGGUGAAAUAUUUCAAUUUAUGUUUUGGGAGUUUUCUGUUUUUGGUAGGCAAGUAAGGAGUUGUUGUAGUCCGAUAGAAAAUCUUGGCUUCGAGUUACGUGACUUCUAGGAGAAAAUUGUUGGAAAGAAAGUUCAAAGUAGUGGUGUAUUCUUUUGAUGUUAAAGUUAGUUGAAGUGUUAUGGUGGGGAACUUAUAGUAACUCUUGGAGGUAUCUUUAUGAGUUGUUGCGAACCCUAAGCUUGAGCGAUUUAGUCACGUGGGAUUUGUGGCUAGUGUUUGGGUUGUAAGGCAUUGCUACAUAAAAAGCUAAAUGUCAAUUUAGAUAAGUCAUGAUUGAAGGCUAAUUUGCCGACUAUUUUUAUCUGCAACAGAAAACAGUUGGGAACAUUUUGGGAUAAUGUUGGUUAUAUCAGCACAUAUUCUGGUUCCUACAACUCUAAUUAUGGAUAAGUUUUUAUCCUUAGAGCAUUCUAUUAAGAUGGUAGUGGUAUAUAUUUUGAAAAUGACGAAUUAUAGUAGUCGAUGAAUAAUAAAAAUUCUGAUGUUUUUGUCUCUAUUGUGGGUUAGUUGAAGCUUGUUAAAUCACUAAGUGUAAUGACUUGGAUUGCUUUUCCUUGGGUUGGUUUUAGAUAAGUCAUUGGUCAGUGCGUUGUGACAACUCGUUUUUGUGCCACAAUCGGGAAAUUUUAGAAAUUGAAUGAUGGCACUAAAUGUUUUGAGUUUCAAGCUUGUUUGGAAUCGUAGAGUGAGAUGUCAGUUAUAUUAUUUUAAUCGUGGGGCCAUUAUGGAUUCUUUCGGAAUUCUAGGUGUUGAAGUUUGGUUUCCAAAUUUGUUAAGUGUUUUGGGAAGAUGAUAAAUUAAAAUGGAAUUGAAAAGUAAUGGUGGAGUGGGAGCGGAAUGGUUAUGGUCGCUCUGGUUUUUCGACAACACCUGGUGAAUUUAUUACGUGUUGUCGUAGGUGUUAUAAAUUAGUUGUGUGGAGCUGGUGGAAGUGGUAGCAGUGGAAUAAAACCCACUGGAGUAUGGAGUAAGAGUGUGUGGGUGUCCAUAGUAAUUUUAAGCAGUGUCGUUCUGGAUAGUUGAAAUAUGUCUUGAAUUUGUGAUCGAAGUUGGUUUAUUGACAUCACUUCGUUAGCUUUUGGUGACUAGCUAUGACACAUCAAUGGGAUGAUCUGUUCACUCACCUUAUAUCUAAUUCGGUGAUGUGGAGCAGAGUUUUGGUUGUUGUGUAUGUGAGAAUAUAUAAAUUAUUCCUACUGUAGUUUUUGGGUAGCAUCCUCAGAGCUUGAAAUUAUGGAGUGCGAAUUCAAACUCUUUGAUUUGAAGGUUAGUGAUUCUGGUUAGUUUGUCGAAUUUUUUUGAGGCAAAUGAUAAAUUGGUUGUUGUGUCGUAGACAUGGAUCAUGGGUAAAUCCAGUGGUGAUCCUAAGUGAGCUGGAGUUUAAUUAAGCGAUGAAUCUUGGAGCCGUAUGUCCUAUGUGGUAGUCUGAGAGUCACGUGGUGAUGUUGAAUAGAUGGUUUGUGUCGUUGUAGGUAUAGUUUAUGUUGUAGCCUUAUGGAAGAGGGUUUUCCCCUGUUGACUCAAGAAGCAUUUUGAGUCAAAGUUUAUUAAGAGAUUUAAUAUGUGAAUAGUAGAUAUAUGGGUAGGUUGAAUGACGUCUCUUCUCAGGAUCGUAUUGUGGUGGGACCACUUAUUGAUCCAAGUUUGAUUUGGGAGGUCUUUGCUAUUUGGUUGUGUGUUCAUCCGUUGGUGUCAGGGUGAUUAGUUGAAACCACUUUUAAAUGUUUGUUUCUAGUGCGUUUUCGAAACGGGUUCUAGUGGACGUCGGUGAUUUGUGGAGCUUUUGAGGUCGAAGUGUGGGACUUGUCUUUCAUGAAUUUUAAGUUAUUUUGUUACAUCUCAACCCUUAAAUUUUUACCUUAUUUAUUAGCUUUGUAUUUAAUAAGAAUUUUACCGUCUUCGUCAAUGAGUUAUUAGUUUAAUUGAUCCUUACAUGGGUUUUGGGGCACGUUUAUUUCGGAGGAUUAUUCGUAGGAGAAAAAUGUGACGACGGUAAAAAUGGUAAAUUUUAGUUAGUAAAAGGUAAUUUUUAUUAGGGUAUUUUUAUUCGGGUGUUUUAUGUUAUGGAGUGUGGGUAUUAAGGAGGGGCCGGGCCAUUUUUGGGGUCAAAGCCCACUCUCUCUUUCUCUUCUCUUCUCUCCCGAUUUCUCCCCGAGUUCUCUCCCUUACCAGAAUUUCUAGCCGCCCGUCCGCCGUCGUCCGGCCACCGUUCGCCGCCGCACCGGUCCCAAACGGUUGGCCGUCGACCUAGCUUCCUUCUUGGACCGGUGAGAGGCUCCCUAACGCCACCGUGAGAAAGAUAUCGGGCCCGAAAGGUCUGACUGCCCAAAGCCCUCCGUCGCCGGAACUUCCUCCUCCGGCCACCAAUCCGGGCAAGCCUUAUAUGGUUUUGAAGGUCUUCAACCCAGUUGCCUUGCCCUAGAAGGACUCGGUCCAGUUUGCUUUAAGUGAGGAGAACCGGUGAGUGGAAGUUCUAGGGUUUUUGUAUUGUUUUCGUUCGAUUGGCAUAGUUAGGCUUAGAAUUGGUGUUUGUGCUAGUUAGGAAAGUUGUAGAGGGGGUUGAGAGGAAGAUGCUGUUAAAAUUUGGUAGGCACUGGAGGUUGCCGGAGUGGUAGGCACUGGAGGUUGCCGGAGUCGGCCUCCAGCCGCCGCUGUUUAGGGGAUUUUCAUGGUUUUAAGUUGGUUAUUUUAAGGGGAGUUACUGAUGAGAAUUUUGGAAUUUUGGAGGAGUUUUGGAUAGGUUUAGGGAAUUUUAAAGUUUGGUAAUUUUGGCGGAUUAUUAGGGUAGAAUCCGGCCAUUGAAUUAAUGUUGUGUAGACUGUGGAAGGUUGUGUUAAGGCUGCCAUUAUUUUCUUCGGUGAAGUUUGGAGCUUAUUGAGUUAAGAAUGGCAAAGUGGGCAAGGAUGAGCGUGGUUAAGGCUCAUAUUUAAUUUUGCCCAUUUUGUAUAAAUAUUGGAUUUUUAGUUGAGAAAUUAAUUUUACAUUUGGAAUAGGACGUGAGGAGGCUUGAGCAGAAGAGGCCUCAGAUCGACAUCAGGCUUAGGCCUAUUUUGUGAGUGGACUUUUGUUUUAACUAAAAACAUGCAAUGCAUUAUAUUGUUGAUCAAUUAUUCUUCUGCUGAGAUUUAUUGCUUUCUCUAAUAUUUGGUAAUUUUCAUCUUUUGGAGAGUUCCCGAAAAUGAGAUUUUCGGUGGAUAUGUAUAUUGGAUGUUUAUGAGUAUAGUAUAUAUAUAAAUGCUAGUUAGACAUACGUGUUUGGUCCGUCAUAAUGAGGUAAAAUUCCAUUAUGGCGUGACGUGAGUGUUAGACACAAGCGUCAUAGCCCUAUAUGGAAACUAUUUUCUUAUCUAGUUCAUGUAAGUUUUCAUAUAGGGAGUCCACAUGUAUAUACACCCAUCCUCUUCGGUCAUAAUGAGGAAAAAAUUCCGUUAUGGCGCGACAUGAGCGUUAAACGUGAGCGUUAGACGCAAGCGUCGUAGCCUUGUAUGAAUUUCUAUUUUUUUAUCUUGUUCAUAGAAUUCGUACAAGAAGUCUGACGAGUGUAAAUACAUACACAUAUAUUUAAUUAGUUUUGUCUGAGAGGCUCCAGUUUUAUUGAGUUUUAGAGACUGGCCGAAGCUAGUCUUGUAUUUGCUAGUUUGUGAGUAGAAAGCUUUGAGCUGUCGCAUGCAGCAUAAUUUUUAUGGAAAUUAAAAUGGGAAUGAAUAAAUAUUUAUUUAUAAUUUAUUGUUGUCCACUCACUCUAACGGUUUCAAAUGUUUUCCCCUGGGCCCUUCGUUUUAAAAUGCCUAGUCUGUAGAGUGCGGGUUGGAUCUAGUAGGAAGCGAGGCAUAGUCACCCAUUUAUUCACCACCAUUCAUCAGUAGGUUACCUGUUAACCUACCAGCAUAUUUUCUUGCUUCCUCUAGCUUUAGCAGCUCUGAAUACCUUGAGGAUAAUGUGUAUUAGUUCGGUUGGGUGCUAAGUCUUAGAUUUAAAUUUGGAAUAUUUGAAGGUUGAAGUUUGUUAUUUCAUUUUCAUUUGGAAAUUUAUAAGAUGGAUUAGAAGAUGGUUUUAUUAUUUUGUUCUGGUGGUUGUAUUGUGGGGAACGGGUGGCUCCAGGAGUUGAGGUUGGAUGUGUCGAUAUAGGAGUGUGGUUUGAAUUGUUUUAUAGGUAACGGUUGUCCAUUUUCAAGGGAGGUUAUGCUGAAUUUUUCAGUAAACUUUCCUUAGAGGUGGUCCCCGCAAGACUUACUUCAGGUUUCAGGGUAAAAUUCGGGGUGGGUCUUGACAUAUUUAUUCUGGAGCUUGCGCUGAGAUUAGCCAUGAGCCUUGAUUCUUAUUGGAACUUAUAGUUUUCGUUGGAUGGUGAACCACAAAGUGUAAUAGUGGGCCUGUUACUGAAAUUAAUUUUUAUAUUCGAUGGUUAACUUGUUGCUGCAAGCUCAGUUAUCGGAAAAUCUUUUUGGUGGGAAGCCGUGGCGCCUGGAAGGUGUAGGAGACUUGAGCAUAUCUGAUUUUCAGUUCGUAUUCUGCUAUCAGAUUAAUUGUUAUUAGAGGUAGAAAAAGAAGUGUGUUUGUCGGGUCCAAAAGUUUUGGCAUUUAGAAUCAUUCUUGUGGAACGGCUAGAGUGAGCCGUGUGCUUUUAAUUGUUGCACUUGGGGUCACAGUUGCACCCGAAUAAGUAGCAUGACUGGAGAUGUAAAUUAUGUCAAUGCUUAAGGAAGGUGUUCUAUUUAUGUGGAUUUCAACGUCAAGUUUAGCAUCAUGAAUUGACUGUGCCAAUUUUCGUGGGCAUUAUUAGUCAGUUUUGUUUCUGGCGAGCAAGGAGGAAUAUCCAGUUUCCACAUGAUAGUCAUGUUUCAGAUUAUCUUCUGAUUUGUGGUAAAGAAAUUAGUGGAGAUAGUAGAAUCAGGAGAGAGUUGGAAUUCCCAUGAACUGCUAGUUUGUGGUGCUCAAAAUGGUAAUAUAAUAGUUUUGGUGGACAGACCUAAGUGACGUAGUAUUGAUCUCAACAUAAUAUCAUUUCGAGAAUCGAGGUUAUCAUAUGUUGGUGGACUGGUCACUUAGGCAGAGCAAGGUUGUCUUGUGGACUUGCGAGAGCUUUGACUCCGCAGAAGACUUUACGAAGUGUCUCGGUAUUAGAAGUGAUUGUUGCAGUUCUGCAGUGUAUGCAUCCUUAAAUCUAUUCAAUUAGCGGGUAUUAAUUUUGACCCCUAUGAGCAUGUGGGAAUGCGUAAACUUUAGUUUCCUAGCAAGUGGACUUCAUUGUUGAGUUGUGAGCAGUGUAAUGACAAGGUUGUUGCGUGACGUUAGGAGAUUUGAGCCCGAUGGUGAUAGCAAAUUUAUGUGCUUUAUUGGGGUUAGCUAUUUCCAUUGCUCAUGAAGGAGUGUGCAUACCUAUGGGUACUCGUACUCUAGAGCAGGUAUCGCUAAAAUCACUUACGUGUUGAUGUUAGUGGUUCAACGAAGGAUUUAGAGUCUUUAAGAAGAUUUAAAGUAGUCAGAGAUAGACUCAAAGCAGCUCAAAUUAGUCAGAAGAGUUAUAAAGAUGUCCGCGGGAAGGACCUUAAAUUUCAAGUAGGUGUUUAGGUGUUCUUGAAAUUAUCUUCUAGAAAAGGGGUAGCACGUUUUGGUAAUGUGGAAAGCUUAGUCUGAGGUAUAUUGGUCUUUAUGAGAUUAUAAAGCGAGUUGGCUCACUUGCGUAUCGUUUAGUUUGCCUCUAGAUUUAUCUAGGAUACAUAAUGUGUUUCAUGUAUCCAUGCUUCACAAGUAUAUUGCCGAUCCUUCUCAUGUGUUGCAAGAGCAGCCGAAUUGUUUGAAGAAAGAUUUGACUUAUGAAGAAGAGCCGGUUCAGAUUCUUGACCGACAAGAGCAAGUGCUUAGGAACAAGACAAUCCCACUUGUCGAGGUGCUUUGGAGAAGUCAUCAAGUAGAGGAAGCUACUUGAGAAUCAGAGGAGCAAAUGAGGCAGCAGUAUCCCUACCUCUUAGAAUUGGAGUUUGUGCUAGUUUGGAAAGUUGUAGAGUGUGUUGAGAGGAUGAAGCUGUUAAAAUUUGGUAGGCAUUGGGGUCGCCGGAGUUGGCCGCCACUGCCAGCAGAGCAGACGGCGGCACCGCCGCUGUUAGGGGGAUUUUCAUGGUUUUAAAUGUGUAAUAUUAAGGGGAGUUUAAUGGAAUGAAGUUUAGAAUUUUUGGAGGAGUUUUGAAUAGGUUUUGGAUUUUUUGAAAUAUUUGUGAAUUUGGCGGUUAAUGGGGUAGAAUCCGACCGUUCGAUUUUCCUUAUUAUUAUUUUAGAAUGUUGAAAUAAAUGAAUUGAGGCUGUGGUUGGAGUUUGGCGUGAAUCCGAUAAACUUAACCCUAGAAAGGAUAGUGGGUUAGGCGGAAGAGUUUUGAGUUAUAUAUUUACGUAUUAUUUUUUUCUGAAAUUAAAGUUUGGUCCUAUGCAUGGUUAUUGUGCCAGGAUUCGAGAAGACCUCUCUUGAGUGGCGAUUUGGAUUUCGUCGGGCGUAUGCCUAAAGUUGUGAGUGGACGUUCAUUUUAAAUUAUAAGCAUGCGGUGAUUUCAUAUUAAAUGAAUGAUUUUAUUGAAUAUCAUUUGUGGAAUGUUUAUUUUCGCGAAGUUAUUUUUGAAAGUAAAUGUUUUAUUUUAUUUGUUAACUUCGUUAUUUGGAAAGUUACUGAAAAUGAGAUUUUCGGUGGAGUCAUAUAUUUAUUGUUUCUUUAAUAAUUGGCAAUUUUCAUUAUUUUUGGAGAGUUACCGAAAAUGAGAUUUUUGGUGGACAUGUAUAUGGAUGAUUAUGAGGAUAGUAUGUAUAUAAAUAAAUGUUAGCUAGCUAUACGUGCUUUUCCGCCAUAAUGAGGUAAAAUUCUAUUAUGGUAUGACGUGAGCGUUAGACGCAAUCGUCGUAGCCCUAUAUAAAUUUAGUAAUUUAUAUAGGGAAUAUACACGUAUAUAUACACUCGUGCUUUUCCGCCAUAAUGAGAUAAAAUUCCAUUAUGGUGUGACGUGAGCAUUAGACGCAAACGUAGUAGCCUUAAAUGAAUUUCUAUUUUUCUUAUUCCUUCAUAGAAUUCGUACAAGGAGUAUGAUGAGUGUAAAUACAUAUAUAUAUAUAUAUAUAUUAUUUUAGCCUGAGAGGCUUCAUUUUAUUAAAUUUGGAGACUAGCCGGAGCUAGUCAUGUAAUUGCCAAUUGAUGAGUUGAGAGCUUUUGAGCUGUCGCAUGUAGCAUAUUUUCUAUGGAAAUUUAAAUUGGGAAAGCAGAAAUAUUUUCAUUAAAUUUAUUUUUGUCCACUCACUUUAACGUUUGCAAAUAUUUUCCCCUGGGCCAUUCGUUUUAAAAAUGCCCAGUUUGCAGGUUAGCAUAGAUGAGGUCGGGCGUACAUGGAGAAGAGGCAUAGUCAAUAGUAUAGCUUCUGCUCAUUUCUAUGUUUCUAGUUUCUUUCCUCUCAAUUAGAGUUGCUGUGAACUGUGAUUGUCGGUUAUGGGAUUAUGCUUAUUAAAGUUAGUAAAUAAAUUGGGAGAUGUUGUCAUUCGGGGAGCACGAAGGCUCCAGGAGUAGAGGGUUAUAGAUGGAUUCUUUUGAAGUGUAUGUAAGUAUUUUUAGAAAAGGUUGUCCAUUUUCAAAGGAGGUUAUGCCGAAUUUUCGGUAAAUUUUCCUUGGAGGUGGUCCCCUCAGGAUUUACUUCGGGUUUCAGGGUGAAAUUCGGGGUGGGUCUUGACAUCUAAUGCCCACCAAAUUUUAGCACAAUCAUCCUCUCAACAAUCCAAACAACUUUCAUAACUACCACAAACACCAAUUCCAUGCCUAACUAGGGUAAUCGAACCAAAACAGUAAAAAUCUCAAAUUCAAGCCCUAAUUAUUCAACCAGUUGGAUCUACUUACCUAGAACGAAUGGGAUCGAUUCCUUUUGAGGUUAUGCUACACAGGGCGAGAGCUUGAAGAUGAGACAAGUAUCUCCAGCUAUGGCGGCCGGAGAAGGAAAUUUCGGCGAGAGGUCCACCAACGUUCUUGUCGUGAUAUCUUCCAAGCGACGAUGAGAGGGGCGCUGCCACCAACCCAGGAAGAGAGAAGGGACGCCGGCAAGUCGAACCGGAUCGGUGCGGUGGUCUGAGCUGGUCGGACGGUGGAGCUCGGCGACGGCAAGUCAUCGGGCAGAGGGAGAGGGAGAGCGAAGCUCAAGGAAGAGUAGAGAAUAAGAGAGUUUGGGCCUUUUUUUUCUUUUUCCCCCAACUAGUUUCCUAAUCUGGAAGCUUCUAAAAUGUAAGUUUCCCAUUUCAAACCCAACCACAAAAUAAAAUUUCCCCCUUUCAAUAUCUAGUUUUUUACCUACUUUCCAAAACACAAGUAACUCAUGUCUGUUACUUCAUUUUAUCGUCCUUAACGACUUUCCUUUAAGGAACAAACCCCAUAAUAGUCAUCAUAUAAAAGUCGUCUCUGGUCCUUUGAACUAUAAGACCCCUAAUAAAGGCAGUAAAAACUCAAGGUUAUACAACGUAAAUAAUUAGGGUAACAAUUAAGGGUCGGGAUGUGACAUUGGAGGUGGUCGGAGAAGGCCCGGUCGGCCACCGCUGCCAGCGGAGCAAACAGCGGCGCCACCACUUUUGGAUAGUUUUUCAUGUUAAUUAAUUUGUUAUGCUGAGAGGGGUCCAAUGGUGUGCAAUUUGAGAGUUAUGAUGAAGUUUUUGAUAGGUUUGAGAUUAUUCAAAGUUUGGUUUUAUCGGUGUGCUACUCGGGAAGAUCCUACCGUUGGAUUUCCCCUAUUUCUGUUUCAGAAUGUUGAAAUAAAUGAAAUGAGGUUGCGGGUGGAGUCUGGUAUGAAUUCGAUAAGCUUAACUCUGGUAAGGGUAGUGGGUUAAGCGGAAGAGUUUUGGUGUUUAUAUUUAAGUAUGCUUCUUUCUGAAAUUGAAGUUUGGUCCUAAGCAUGGUUAUUGUGCCAGGAUAUGAGAGGACCUCCCUUGAGUGACAAUUUGGGUUUCGUCAGGCUUAGGCCUAAAUUUGUGAGUGAGCAUUUUGGUUUUUAGUUAAGAUUUUUAGUUAAUAUGCAUGAAUAAUUUUAUAACUAGUCCAUUAUAUUUUCCAAGCUUAAAAUUAUAAUUUCCGCUUUUGAAUUGGUUAUGGAAUUUAUUUGAGAUUAGCAUAUUAGUUAUGGAAUUUAUUUGAGAUUGACAUGUUGGUUAUGUUUUCGUUAACGAACUUAUGGAUUUGAGUAUGGGUAAGUGAUUUGAUAUUUGAGAAUAUUAUUCUUUAUGAUUGGCAAAUUUGAGAUUACAUUAAAGAUUUGAGUUUUCUCUAGUUUUUGAAACAUGUUGAUUAUUUGAGUUAUUUAUUCUCUUAAGCAAUUUAGCAUGUGGGACACGUUAUUGAAUUUAAUUUAUUUCUUUUCUUUUGGAAUUUUCUGAGUACGGUUGGGAACCGUACAUAUGCUUUAGUUAUGAGUUUCGAGGAAACUCACAUGAAUUCAUAUCUUCCUUCCUUAUGCCAUACUUAUUGGAUCGUUAUUAUUCAUGCUAGCAUGUCAUUCAGCCUUUCAGGCUCACUUUGUCUCACCCCGAAUUUUGGAUAAAUAAAAAUUCCAAAUUUAAGGCAUGAUAACAAAAAUAAAAAAAUCAAAUAAUACAAUCUGACGUUUACAUAACUUGGGAAGUCAAGUAAAUGUCACACUCUAAAGAGCUCACUACAAUUUUACAAUCAAAAUAAAGAUAUCCAACUACUAACAAGCAGCUUCUAGAUCCCUACGUCUCAAUCUUGGAAAUCCUCACCUGUAAAUUCAACCUCUACACCAUGGAUUGGUGCACCGGGUUGUAAACAACAAACCCGGUAAGCUUUAAUAGCUCAUAUGAAUAAAUCUACAAUAAAAGACUCAACCCAACAUCACAUAUGAAUAAAACUGGUAAUUCCUGCAUUAGCAAACUUAGUUCAGGAAUCACCUAAAAGUAAGAGAAUUCAAAAGAGAGAAAUAAGAAAACGCAACAAUUCACAAUCAAACAAAUCAUAAUGAAAUCCUGCAAAAAGCAUAGUUCAGGAAUUCCACUAAAAAUCAUACAAUUAAGAUUAAAGGAGCUCCUGCAUUAAGCAUAGUUCAAGAGAUACUCAAAACAAGGAAUUUAAAUAACAACACAUAAGAACAUCACACAAUCAUUUCACUACUCUUACUUAUGAGUUCGUCAACACUUAGUCAUCCCCCAUAAGUAACCAAACAAACAUGUAACUCAUGGGUUCGUCAACACUUAGUCAUCCCCCAUGAAGUACCGACAAACAGACUAAAACUCUAUACUGACCGUAACCAAUCACCCGGCCAAGGCUUGGUUCCCGUUCCACCACGAAGGCUCCUAAUCUAAUGCACACAAUCACCAAUAAAGCACCAUUCCACAACAAAUGCACACAAUCACCACUAAGGCACACAUCCACAACUAAUGCACACAAUCACCAAUAAGGCAUCAUUCCACAACGAAUACUGUCACAUCCCGACUCUUAUAUUUUUACCUUAUUUACUAGCUGGUUUAUAAUAAGAAUUUUACCGUCUCCGUCAUUAAGUUAAUAGUUUAAUUGGUCCCUAGAGGGGUUUCGGGGACGAUUAUGUGCGGAGGAUUAUUCGUAAGAGGAAAAUACGACGACGGUAAAAAUAGUAAAUUUUAGCUAGUAAAAGGUAAUUUUUAUUCGGGUAUUAUUUUUCGGAGUGUUUCAUUUUUGGAAUUGGGUUGUUUAAAGGUGUGGACCGGUUUGGGGUGUGAGGCCCAAACCCAUUUUCUCUUCUCUCUCUUUUCUACCCGGUUCUCUCUCUCUCUCUCCCCGAUUUUCUUCCUCCCGCUGCCCGUUCGUCCGGCCGUCCUCCUGCCGCCGUCCGGCCACCAGCUGCCGCCACUCCAUCCCAGUUCGGAGCCCCGCCACCUCCUCUCCCUCCCCGGCCUAACCCCCGAGCCUCUAACCCGCCGGAAGAGGAGAAAUCCCACCGGAGACGCUGGGAAGCAUUUCGCCGGAACUCCCUCCUCCGGCCACCAAUCCGGGCAAGCUUGGUACGGUUUUCUAGCCCUCCAACCCAGCAGCCUUGCCCUAAAAGGACUCUCCCUCUCUUGAGCUAGGUAAGGAGAAAUGUGGAGUUGAAAUUUAUAGGGCUUUUAGGUGUUUGUGUUCGAUUGCCCUAGUUAGGCUUGGAUUUUGGCUUUGUGUUGGUCAGGAAAGUUGUAGAGCAUGAUGAGGAGAUUAUUCUGUCAAAAUUUCAUAGGUUUUGGAGGUCGCCGGAAUUGGCCUCCGGCCGCCACUGCCGGCGGAGCCGCCGCCGGUUGGGAGAUUUUUAUGUUUUUAAAUGUGGAAUAUUAAGGGGAGUUUAUUGAAGUGAGUUAUGGAAUUUUUGGAUGAGUUUUGGAUAGGUUUGUGAUUUUCCGAAGUUUGGUAUUUUUUGCGGUUAAUUAAUGUAGAAUCCGGCCGUAGGAUUUAAGUCAUAUUCUGUGAGAAGUUGUUGUUACGGCUGCCGGUAUGUUCGGCGAAGUUUGAGCCGUAUUGAGUUAAGAAUGGCGAAUUUGGGCAACGAUGAGUGUGUGGGAGGCUCACGUCUAAUUUUGCCCAUUUUGUUUAAAUAUUGGUUUUUUGGUGGGAAAUUAAUUAUAUAUUUGGAACAGGACGAGGAGGCCUAAGCAGAGGAAGCCUCGGAGCGUCAUCAGGCUUAUGCCUAAUUUCUGAGUGGACUUUGUUUUUAAUUUGAAAGCAUGCGAUGCAUUAUGUUGUUGAUCAGAUAUUCUUCACCUGAGAUUUAUGAUGUUUCGGAUAAUUGGCAAUUUUCCUCCUUUGGAGAGAUCCCGAAAAUGAGAUUUUCGGUGGAUAUGUUUAUUGGAUGUUUAUGAUGAUAGUAUGUAUAUGUAAAUGCUAGCUAGCCAUACGUACUGAUCCGCCAUAAUGAGGUAAAAUACCAUUAUGGUGUGACGUGAGUGUUAGACACAAGCGUAGUAGCCCUAUAUGAAAACUAUUUUUUUAUUUGGUUUAUUUAG
rnacentral:lncRNA from 1 species